GAUGAACGCUGGCGGCGUGCUUAACACAUGCAAGUCGAGCGAACGGACGAGACGCUUGUUUCUCUGUUGUUAGCGGCGGACGGGUGAGUCACACGUGGAUACCCUCCCUAUCUUUCUGGGAUCACUUCGGGAAACCGGCGCUAAUACCGGAUAAUAUUUUGCUCCGCAUGGUUCGAAAGUGAAAGUCGGUCUUGCUGUCUCUUCUAGCUGGAUCCGGGCUGCAUUAGCUAGUUGGUAAGGUAACGGCUUACCACGGGAACGAUGCAUAACCGACCUGAUAGACGGAUCGCCGACACGGGAACUGGGACAGGGUCCAGGCGCCUACGAGAGGCAGCAGUAGGGAAUCUGCGGCAGUAGUGGAAAGCCUUACAGAGCAACGCCGCGUGAGUGAUAAAGGUCUUCGGAGCGUAAUACUCUGUUAUGAGGUAAAAACAUAUGUGUAAGUAACUGUGCACAGCUUGACGGUACCGGGUCAGAAAGCCGCGGCUAACUACGUG
rnacentral:rRNA from 1 species